AGAUAUCACGAAGAACUCCGAUUGCGAAGGCAGCUUGCCGCAGUGUUACUGACGCUGAAGCUCGAAGGUGCGGGUAUCGAACAGGAUUAGAUACCCUGGUAGUCCGCACGGUAAACGAUGGAUGCCCGCUGUGUGCCUUAAUGGUACGCGGCCAAGCGAAAGCGUUAAGCAUCCCACCUGGGGAGUACGCCGGCAACGGUGAAACUCAAAGGAAUUGACGGGGGCCCGCACAAGCGGAGGAACAUGUGGUUUAAUUCGAUGAUACGCGAGGAACCUUACCCGGGCUUGAAUUGCAGAGGAAGGAUUUGGAGACAAUGACGCCCUUCGGGGCCUCUGUGAAGGUGCUGCAUGGUUGUCGUCAGCUCGUGCCGUGAGGUGUCGGCUUAAGUGCCAUAACGAGCGCAACCCCUGUCCUUAGUUGCCAUCAGGUGAAGCUGGGCACUCUGGGGACACUGCCACCGUAAGGUGUGAGGAAGGUGGGGAUGACGUCAAAUCAGCACGGCCCUUACGUCCGGGGCUACACACGUGUUACAAUGGGAGGUACAGAGAGAUGGUGUUCUGCAAAGCGCAUCUAAUCCUUAAAGCCUGUCUCAGUUCGGACUGGGGUCUGCAACCCGACCCCACGAAGCUGGAUUCGCUAGUAAUCGCGCAUCAGCCAUGGCGCGGUGAAUACGUUCCCGGGCCUUGUACACACCGCCCGUCAAGCCAUGAAAGCCGGGGGCGCCUGAAGUCCGUGACCGCGAGGGUCGGCCUAGGGUGAAACCGGUGAUUGGGGCUAAGUCGUAACAAGGUAGCCGUACCGGAAGGUGCGGCUGGAACACCUCCUUU
rnacentral:rRNA from 1 species